UGCCAGCCGCCGCGGUAAUACGGAGGGUGCGAACGUUAAUCGGAAUUACUGGGCGUAAAGCGCGCGUAGGCGGUUUGUUAAGUGGGAUGUGAAAGCCCCGGGCUCAACCUGGGAAUUGCAUUUCAAACUGGCAGACUAGAGUUUAGUAGAGGGAGGUGGAAUAUCCUGUGUAGCGGUGAAAUGCGUAGAUAUAGGGUGGAACACCAGUGGCGAAGGCGGCCUCCUGGACUAAAACUGACGCUGAGGUGCGAAAGCGUGGGGAGCAAACAGGAUUAGAUA
rnacentral:rRNA from 1 species